rnacentral:rRNA from 1 species
CCUACGGGAGGCAGCAGUGAGGAAUAUUGGUCAAUGGGCGAGAGCCUGAACCAGCCAAGUCGCGUGAAGGAUGACGGCCCUACGGGUUGUAAACUUCUUUUGUCAGGGAGCAAUUGGGUCCACGCGUGGGCUUAGCGAGAGUACCUGAAGAAAAAGCAUCGGCUAACUCCGUGCCAGCAGCCGCGGUAAUACGGAGGAUGCGAGCGUUAUCCGGAUUUAUUGGGUUUAAAGGGUGCGCAGGCGGUCUGUUAAGUCAGCGGUCAAAGCCCGGGGCUCAACCCCGGCCCGCCGUUGAAACUGGCAGU